rnacentral:tRNA from 1 species
GGAUGUAGCUCAGUUGGUAGAGCACUUGCCUCGCAUGCACAAAGUCCUGGGUUCAUUCCCCAGCACCG